rnacentral:rRNA from 1 species
UGAGGGAAUAUUGGGUCAAUGGGCGAAAGCCUGAACCAGCCAAGUAGCGUGCAGGAUGACGGCCCUACGGGUUGUAAACUGCUUUUAGGCGGGGGUAAAGUGCCGGACGUGUUCCGGUAUUGCAAGUACCGCCAGAAAAAGGACCGGCUAAUUCCGUGCCAGCAGCCGCGGUAAUACGGAAGGUCCGGGCGUUAUCCGGAUUUAUUGGGUUUAAAGGGAGCGUAGGCCGGAGAUUAAGCGUGUUGUGAAAUGCCGCGGCUCAACCGUGGCACUGCAGCGCGAACUGGUUUUCUUGAGUGCGCGCGACGCAGGCGGAAUUCGUGGUGUAGCGGUGAAAUGCUUAGAUAUCACGAGGAACCCCGAUUGCGAAGGCAGCUUGCGGGAGCGCAACUGACGCUGAAGCUCGAAGGUGCGGGGUAUCGAACAGGAUUAGAUACCCUGGUAGU